rnacentral:rRNA from 1 species
UGGGGAAUAUUGCGCAAUGGGCGAAAGCCUGACGCAGCGACGCCGCGUGAGGGAGGAAGGCCUUCGGGUCGUAAACCUCUGUCCGGAGGAAAGAAACCCAUGUGUUCAAAUAGGGCUCAUGGCUGACGGUACCUCCGAAGGAAGCACCGGCUAACUCCGUGCCAGCAGCCGCGGUAAUACGGAGGGUGCAAGCGUUAAUCGGAAUCACUGGGCGUAAAGCGCACGUAGGCUGUCUUUCAAGUCAGACGUG